UCACCCAUGCCGUUGGGAAGGGAGUAUCCUCUGGUGAGGGGUACAGUCCUGAAUGACCCCAGUCAGUCCUUUCUAUGGAGUCACCACCUUGCAUAGUGCUGGGCCUGUGGUAGACAUCCAAUAAAUACUUACUGCAUGUAUGCGGUAACUAGCAGUUUUACUUUUGCGAGUAGCUGGGAGUUUUUCAGAGUUUCAUGUGGUGAAGAAGGUGGAUGAUGAAGCUGGGACAGGAUGUUUUUUGGGGUCACAGAUUAGUGUUCUUGUAUACUUGUCAAUGGGCUCUUAAGGCACUCCUCAAAGAAUCUGCCAGUGAUUUAAGCAUCAUUUGAAUAAGAGCACAGGGUGAGCAGAAGAACAACUUGUGUGGCCAGGAGCAGGGGUAGGGAGUGCAGAGAAGAGAGAGCCUGGGUGCAAUGUCAUCAAGAAGGCUUUCCCUAUAGUCCCAGCUACUUGGGAGGCUGAGGUGGGAGGGUCGCUUAAGCCCAGGAGUUCUAGGCUGCGGUGCCCCUUGAUUGUGCCUGUGAAUAGCCAGAAUAGCCAGUGCGCUCCAGCCUGGGCAACAUAGCAAGACCCUGUCUCUAGUUAAAAAAAAAAAAAGGGAAAAGGCUAGGCAUGGUGCCUCAUGCCUAUAACCCCAGCACUUUGGGAGGCUGAGGCAGGAAAAUUGCUUGAGCCCAGGAGUUUGAGACCAGCCUGAGCAACAUGGUGAAACUCCAUCUCUACAAAACAUAUAAAAAAAAUUAGCCAGGUGUGGUGGUGCAUGCCUGUGGUCCCCAGCUACUCAGGAGGCUGAGGUGGGAGGAUCGCUUGAGUCCAGGAGGUCAAGGCUGCAGUGAGCUGUGAUUGUGCCACUGUACUCCAGCCUGGGCUACAGAGGUGAGACUCUGUCUCAAAAAAACAAAAAGGCUUCCCAGCAGCACUGGUGCCACAACUGACAUGGCAGCUGCAGCUAGAACAGUUGAGUUUCUUGGCUGCUCUCAUCAAAUUGGGUCAGAGUUGUGUGUGGCCAGCACCAUCUCACCAAAUCUCCAGGCUCCCUGCUGGCGGGUCAGCAGCAGCUGGUGUGACAAAGUACUGGCCUCUGGGAGCUAAGCCCCGGCCUGGGCCAGCUCUGCAAGGGCGCUUUCCUUCUUCCUGCAAGCUCUGCUUCCCCUUUUCCUUCUAAGCUGCCAUCACUUCAUGAAAUCCCUGGGCUUCCCUCCUCCAGAGUUGGCUGGGAAGUGAAACAUGUUCCCAAGACCAGCCCCCAGAUCAUUUGCCUCAAAGGUUUUCCCUCGAAGUCACAAAUGUUUCAAGGAAUCUCAAAUUUUACAAAGUUUGAAGUGUGGGCAUUGGUGGCCUGUGGCUGUGUCCUCUCUCUGUAGCUGUUUUCUCCCUACAUCCCUGAAAGGAAGUUGAGCCUGCUCCUCCAUCCGCAGACCUCCCUUUCCAGCGCCCAGGGCAUGGGGUGCUGUGAGGGCAGCAUGCUAGGUGUGACCGUGCUCCUGGCCUCCAGGCCCGUGUCCCUCUGUCCUCUAGCCCACUAAGGCCCUGGCCCAUUUGUGCUAAACAGGCAGUCGGACCUAGAAAGAGCAGACAAUCUCUCUGGGUCACCAGUCUGGCUAGGAGCUGGUCUCCUGACUGGGAUCCAGGCCUUCUCCCCUGCCCAUGUGAAUUCCCAGGGGCAGAGCCUGAAAUGUUGAACACAGCACUGGCCAAAGAGAUGUCACCGUGGGAACCGAGGCUCUCUUCUCCUCCUGCCUGCUUUCGUGGGUUCAGAGUAGCUGAGGCUUGUCUGAGAGGAGUUGGAGUGCUGGUUUUCACCCUGGUUGGUGUGCUUUGCUUUGAGGGCACUUAGAAAGCCCAGCCCAGCCCUUGCUCCUGCCCUGCACACAGCGGAGCGACUUUUCUAGGUAUGCUCUUGAUUUCUGCAGAAGCAGCAGGUGGCAUGGAGCCAAGAGGAAGUGUGACUGAAACUGUCCACUCAUAGCCCGGCUGCCGUAUUGAGAGGGCUUGGUGGGAAACUAAUGCUGGUGGCUGAUGCAAGCAGCCAGGUCCCAGGGCUGUUUGCUGUCCUGCUUCCUCCCUGUCCCUGGGACUUGGGGGAGGUGCUGGUCCUGUCCUGUCGGGGCAUUGUUCUCUGGACUCCUUCGCUCUUUUCCCAGAUGAGCUUCCCUUCAGGGGAGGGGUUUCCAGCCUGUUACCCUGAGGAGCUC
rnacentral:lncRNA from 10 species